GUGAACGCUGGCGGUAGGCCUAACACAUGCAAGUCGAACGGCAGCACAGUAAGAGCUUGCUCUUACGGGUGGCGAGUGGCGGACGGGUGAGGAAUACAUCGGAAUCUACUUUUUCGUGGGGGAUAACGUAGGGAAACUUACGCUAAUACCGCAUACGACCUACGGGUGAAAGCAGGGGAUCUUCGGACCUUGCGCGAUUGAAUGAGCCGAUGUCGGAUUAGCUAGUUGGCGGGGUAAAGGCCCACCAAGGCGACGAUCCGUAGCUGGUCUGAGAGGAUGAUCAGCCACACUGGAACUGAGACACGGUCCAGACUCCUACGGGAGGCAGCAGUGGGGAAUAUUUGACAAUGGGCGCAAGCCUGAUCCAGCCAUACCGCGUGGGUGAAGAAGGCCUUCGGGUUGUAAAGCCCUUUUGUUGGGAAAGAAAAGCAGCAGGUUAAUACCCCGCUGUUCUGACGGUACCCAAAGAAUAAGCACCGGCUAACUUCGUG
rnacentral:rRNA from 1 species